rnacentral:lncRNA from 1 species
ACAAAACAAAAAACGAUGGGCUUUCUGUCAUGUGCCUGAGAACUGGGAGGAAGCUGGAGAAAAGAUGCCCUCUGAAUCUUUGUGUUUGGCUGCCCAGGCUCGCCUUGACACCGAAUGGUUGAAAACAGAUAUACAGAUGAUAGUGUCGAACCAAGUGGAACAAAGAAAGAAGAUCUGAAUGACAAAGAGAAAAAAGAUGAAGACGAAACUCCUGCACCUGUAUAUAGGGCCAAGUCAAUUCUGGAGACCUGGGUGUGGGUCAAGCAACCAGGUAAUCUUCUGAGUUUUGGCAUUUUGGAAAGCUUGAUCUGACGCUCCUUUUCUAAAUAACUUGGAUGGAUUAUUCGUAUUUUUUGGUAACAAUUUAAAAAAAUGUAAUUAAAAAAAUUUAAAUAUUGUGGUAAAAUAUACAUACCUUAAAACUUGC